rnacentral:rRNA from 1 species
UACGGGGGGUGCGAGCGUUAAUCGGAAUGACUGGGCGUAAAGGGUACGUAGGUUGUUUUUUAAGUUUAACUGUAAAAGACCCUGGGCUCAACCUGGGAAAAGACGGUUAAGACUGGGAGACUAGAGUAUGGGAGAGGGUAGUGGAAUUUCCGGUGUAGCGGUGAAAUGCGUAGAGAUCGGAAGGAACACCGGUGGCGAAGGCGGCUACCUGGCCUGAUACUGACACUGAGGUACGAAAGCGUGGGGAGCAAACAGGAUUAG